AGGACGACCUGAGAGUAUGAGACACGCAGCAGCAGCAGCAGCUAUCUCUGCUUCUCAAAUUUUGGGUUUUCCAAUCGUCCUCCUGAUUCAAAACCCAUUUCCUCAAUUUCCCCGAAUUUCGAAUGGUAAUUGAUAUGUAUUAAAUUAGCGAAAAAAGAAAUAAAAUAGAAAAAGAAGAGAAAUUAACGAAAAAAUAACACAGACGAACAGAAAAAAAGGAGGGAAAAGGAAACAAUUGCACCCGGUUUCGAACUCGGAAUGUGGAGGACGUGGGAAGCAACAGAGCAGAGACCGCGCGUGAUGCAUGUGGUUGGUGACUAUAAAUAAAUACCUUCGUUCAGCCUCAGCCCUUCAUUUCAGAAACCCUAGCGCCGACGCACAAACCCUCUCAGCCUUCAUUUCCUCAUGCACAGAGCAUUUCUGCCUUCAUCCCUAUCCUCCUCAUCUCAGAUCCGAGACCGAUGCGUCCUUCAGUCUUCUUUCAGCUCUCGAAUCACAGAUUCCAUCAAGUUUAUCCAACUCCGAGUUCUGCAUGUCACAUCGCCGUGCAUGUUUGUAUGGAUCUGUGAAUAAUAUCUGGAUGUUGCAACCAUGUGUUCCUGCAUCCAUUGGUUGAGUUUUCUUCCUGUAUGCUUAGAAUUUUUUUUUUUGUUCUGCGUUGCCUUGCAUGUAUCAUGGAUGAAUGUGAUCCCCUCUGCUGCGUUGACUUCUCCCCAAGCCUGUAUGCAAUUUAAUCUCCUAAUGAAAUGUGAGAAUGAGUGAAAGGGGUUCCAAGCAGUUCGGAGGACGUCUUAGCAACCCCACUGGGUAUGCAUAACUAAUUCCUUUUAUUAGGAUGAGGACACGAGUCUUGGUAUGAAUUGGCGAGUUUGCCUCAAGGUUGGCCACUGGGGCUGCGACUUCCCCUACCACCGUCGUGUCCCAAAUGGUGUAACUGAGGUUGGCAAGGGGUAUGUAAUAGCUUAUUUGUGUUGUCCUGCGGUGCAUAACAAGUGCAAGCAUAAUAUCCAGCGCGGUUUCGCGUGAAAUGUUAUAUUUGUAUAGUGUUUGAUCACGACGUCACUGUUGACUGCCCGGAGAUGAAAACACUAAUGAAAGAGAACUCAGGGAAAGAGGGGUUGACCUUGUAUGUCUAAUGAUAUCAUCCUGCUGAAGCUGAGGAUUGGGAAUGUAUCAUGUAUGAAUGCUGCAACAGUUGUAUUGUCUGGGACGUCAUUGCAUGGCAGUUGCUUAAUUUUCACUGUACUUUCUUUAGUUUGAGCACUCUGCGUCAUUGCAUAGCAGCAGAACUCCACUCGAAGUUCUUACCGUUGCUAAACCCGUCACUUGAGGGCAUGUGGUACAAGAUCAUUAUGUAUGUUAUGUUGCACAGACA